UACGUAGGGUGCGAGCGUUGUCCGGAAUUAUUGGGCGUAAAGGGCGCGUAGGCGGCUUUGCAAGUGACGGGUGAAAUCCCUCGGCUUAACCGAGGAACUGCCUGUCAAACUGCAUGGCUUGAGACCGGGAGAGGUGAGUGGAAUUCCUGGUGAUAGCGGUGGAAAUGCGGCAGAUAUCAGGAGGAACACCUAUUGCGAAGGCAGCUCGCUGGGACGUAACUGACGCUGGAGACGCGAAAGCGUGGGGAGCAAACAGG
rnacentral:rRNA from 1 species